GAAAAAAACAUUUCUUACGUAACUGUUUUGGAGAUUCCCAAUUUUGAGAUGGGGUCACCUAGUCACAAUAUUUCCAAUCGUGUCUCACUGGGUAACUGUGAUAAUGAAUCAGGUAAAUUAAAGAUUGAUUUGGAUGAUUUACUUGUUGAAGGCCUCCAGAAAGACUGGAGCAAGAAAGUUAAACGACAAAAGAAGAAAGACAAGCGUCGAGAGAAACAGAAGAGGAGAUCAACCGACGGACCAGCAGAAAAUCGUUUCUAAGAUAAGAAGAAUAAUUCGACUGGUGCGAAGACAAGAAGGCAUGAAUAAGAAGAUAAUAAAAAUGAUGAGAGAAAUCAUUAAUUGUAUUGAGUUGGUUAAUGUUGAUUUAGAGUUACAGUCUCUGGCAAAUGGAAUCGAGGCCUUGAGAUUGCAAACCUCUGUUGCAAGACCAGAAAACCCUUAAAAGGUAACAAUGAGAUAUAUGAUUUGUUAGACAUCAACUCUAAAGGGCAGUAAUAAGAAAUGUAUGAUGUUAACAUUUGCUCAACAGUUGAGACUGUCACAUACGCCAGUUGAGACUGUCACGUAUGCUUGCUUUUUGCUAAGAUAACAAUGAGUGUGCAAGGAAAUGCAUCUUGCAAUCUGGAUUGCAGGAUGGACUUUCUUUCUAAAAAUUGUAUUGUAAUGUGUUUAAUCUGAUUAACACAGGAAGGAGGAUGCUGUGCAGUUUAGCAAUAGUCACUUACUUAGCCUACGCCUUAAGAUUUUGUAACAGCUUAAAGAAAAGAUUAAUUUGCUUUAAUGGAAAGAAGAUAGAGCAGCAAUUACUUAAUGUAUGUGUGCAGAAGAGGGGUUGCCAAAAAAGGAAAUGUUAACUUCCUGUAUCCAUAGCAACCUGACUGUUAGUGUGUGUGUGCAAGCAGAUGUGUUAAUGUGUUUUACCAAAAGGAGGCAUCCGGAAGAAAUGAUGUAUUGUUGUUGGGACUAUAUAAUGUUAUGGUUUGGACACAUCCCCUGCCGCAUCUCGGGGUGAAGACUUACGCUUUUACUUUUGUUUUUUACUUGUUAAUAUUUUGCUUAUGAGUUAGUGUUUAAAAUAAAGCGAAGCCAUGUACAAUGGUGAUGCGUAAAAACCUUUAAACAAGUCUCUGAGUAAUUUAUUACGAGUAAAGUUAUUAUUCUAGUUUGUUCCUGAUUCUGUAUUGCCAAGCUCUGCAGAGGCAAAGACUCAACUGAGCUGAUCUGGUUCUGGUGGGAAGAAGUGCAGAAUUCUCCAUUGCCACAGAGAAGACAUCAAAGGAAGAACCCAAACACCUCCUGACUGGAAGGUACAGGCCAGAAAGGAACUCCAAAGAAACCCCCACAGCUCUGUUUACAGUUUUCUGGUUCGGUUCCGUUCCCUGGAGCCCAGUUCUGAUAGCACACCGUCUCUCCGCUCACCCAGUACCAGAUGUUCAUGAUGCAGUAGUUGUGUAAACCCAACCACAGCUCCGCAGUAGACGCCAGGUGUACCACGUUCA